rnacentral:rRNA from 1 species
GAUGAACGCUGGCGGCGUGCUUAACACAUGCAAGUCGAACGGUGAAGCCCAGCUUGCUGGGUGGAUCAGUGGCGAACGGGUGAGUAACACGUGAGCAACCUGCCCUGGACUCUGGGAUAAGCGCUGGAAACGGUGUCUAAUACUGGAUAUGAGCCUUUACCGCAUGGUGGGGGUUGGAAAGAUUUUUCGGUCUGGGAUGGGCUCGCGGCCUAUCAGCUUGUUGGUGAGGUAAUGGCUCACCAAGGCGUCGACGGGUAGCCGGCCUGAGAGGGUGACCGGCCACACUGGGACUGAGACACGGCCCAGACUCCUACGGGAGGCAGCAGUGGGGAAUAUUGCACAAUGGGCGGAAGCCUGAUGCAGCAACGCCGCGUGAGGGAUGACGGCCUUCGGGUUGUAAACCUCUUUUAGCAAGGAAGAAGCGAAAGUGACGGUACUUGCAGAAAAAGCGCCGGCUAACUACGUGCCAGCCGCCGCGGUAAAAC